rnacentral:rRNA from 1 species
GACGAACGCUGGCGGCGUGCUUAACACAUGCAAGUCGAACGGUAAGGCCCCUUCGGGGGUACACGAGUGGCGAACGGGUGAGUAACACGUGAGCAACCUGCCCUUGACUCUGGAAUAACAGUUGGAAUCAGCUGCUAAUACUGGAUAUUCAUCGUCUCCUUCCUGGGGGGUGGUGGAAAGCUCCGGCGGUCAGGGAUGGGCUCGCGGCCUAUCAGCUUGUUGGUGAGGUAAUGGCUCACCAAGGCUUCGACGGGUAGUCGGCCUGAGAGGGCGACCGGCCACACUGGGACUGAGAUACGGCCCAGACUCCUACGGGAGGCAGCAGUGGGGAAUAUUGCACAAUGGGCGCAAGCCUGAUGCAGCAACGCCGCGUGCGGGAUGACGGCCUUCGGGUUGUAAACCGCUUUCAGUAGGGACGAAGGGUGACUGACGGUACCUACAGAAGAAGGACCGGCUAACUACGUG